AGUAAGUACAUAUACUGUACUUGGCCAGAAGAGCCUGGCGUAUCCAACAGAUUUUUACUUUGUAAGACACAUUUUGCUGUAUUUAUGCUUUUUUUUUCAUCUCCCCCUGAGGAGUAUUAACUCAAAGCAAUCACAAGACACCCAUCCUUGCCUGCUGCUUCCUGGGCUGCUACUUGUAUCUUCAUUCCUUACUGCUUCUCUAGCCAUUUGAAUCAUCUUUUUAAACUGCCUUCUGCUCCUAAAAUGAUCACUCUGUCAUCUGGGAAAGGCUAAACAUGUAAAAGCAUUUUCAUUUCUGUAGCAUUCACUUUCAUUUACUCUCUUCUUUCUAUUCAAGUCAAGCAGCACAGAGUGCUGUAUAAAUAGACAAGCCUGUACGACAUCCAGUUUUGAAGUAUUUUUAAAAUACAGUAUUGAAAAAAGAAGAGACAAACUGCAAGGCAAAUGCUAAGCUGCUCCUGAGCCUGAUGACGAUGUAGGUAUUUUGUCUCGGUUACCUGAGCAAUCUCCAGAAGCUUGAAUGGAUUACAAUAAUAUUCUAACAAGGCUGCAGGCAUCCUCAACAGCUUUCAUCUACAGAAGAAGAUAAGAGAUGGAAGAAUGUAAGUAUUUCCAUGUAAGCUAAAUUCCAGCAGCUGACUGCCAUGAUAGGGAAAGCCCUGAAAACUUUGCUGUCUUAAAUGUUUUAAUCUCAUAUAAAACAAAUAGGUCAGCUCUUCUCUUUAAAUAUUGUCACUGAAGCUCUUCUAAAGUGCAAAAAUUUGCCAAGGUUUCCUGCAGGGCAACUGAACAUACAAGUGCGGAGAGGUGGAAGUAGGAGAGAGACAGAAACCAAAACCUCUGGAUCUUCGUCUUCUCGGUGCUGCUACUGCUGAGGCUGUGGUGAAGUCCCUCUGACACCACAUAUCUGGGAAUGAAGAACUUCUCAGAGCUGAUUGGAAAUGGCAUUGCUGCGCUGAAACUUAACUGGAGGAAAUACAUCUCCCGAAGAAGAAAAUAUAAUGCACUUUAAGGAUCUGACUUCUGGUGAAAAAUUCAAGCCUAGAGAAAACUUGUCCGCUUUAUUAAGAAGAAUGGGUUGGACAAUCUUCUUCAAUUCCAAAGGAUAUCUGAACGCCAUGCUGAGCUUAAUCUCUGCAGCAUGCUCUGUGCUUCUCUUCUCCUCCUGAUGCACUGCAUGGUUAGCCUGAGGAGAAGGAUAAAGAAACUGGCUACCAAGAUGGUAAUCACUAGUGGAAAUGAAGAAGAUAAAGGCAAUCAAGAAAAGGAGAGCAAAGAAGAAACCAUCCUGGCAAUGCUUGGGAUUAUUGGAACAAUUCUGAACCUCAUUGUGAUCAUUUUUGUGUACAUUUACACAACAUUGUGAGCCAGAAGGCACACGACGAGAACCGACGAAACAGCUGCUAAAGGUGACAACAAACAUUGUAGGGUAUUGACAUGUUGCUUAAUCAACAUUGAUUCUGUACUAUAUUACCACAUCAUAAAAGCACUGCCUGCAGGCAGCGAAAGCUGAAGCACAAUUAAUUUAACAAGACUUUUUCACGCAGUAACAAGCUCCUUUCCCUUUUUAUUUGGGUUUGGUUUGGGGGGAAAUGACUGCAAUUAUGUAAGUAGCAGUUUUGAAGAACUCAAUCUGGGAUACAAACACAAUAGAAAGAGACUGUACACUAUUUAGAAUUACUAAUGUAUACCAUAUACUCUGAAAGAUAGCUAGAUAGCACCGAUUUUGUGUCCAUUAGGUCAAAUAAUUUUUUUUCUCCUUGACUUUUCAAUUUUAUUUACAUUGAAACUGACAGGCUUUUUAUUUAGAAUGAACAUAUGGUGCAAUCAUGGAAAAACAAUUCCGUUGAGCAAGAUCUGCCUAAAAACAAUGAAAUGUUGGGGGAAAUAAGUGACAUGAUUAUUUUUUCUUUCUCAUUUGCUUGACAUUUGUGUCUGUUCAAACCAAUGUUUAUAAAUAUAUAUUUUUAAUAAAUGUGCUAUAUUUUUAGCAUGAACCAAAUAUUUGGAGACAAUCUGUGCAGCCUGUUUUGUCUGAUGAAGUGCCCUUUGUUGACUAUGGAUGGGAUGCUCUUCAGCAGUUAUAUACCAAUCUUGUUCGCAGCCAUUUCAUUGUAGUCUGGAACAAACUUACAUCAUGCUUGACUUGAAGUUGGAAUGUCAGCUGAAAAGCAUUGCUUUUUAAUACAGGAGAUAGAAAAACAUUAUAAGGUGACCUUUAUAGACUGGUUGCAGGGACAUGGCUCUAUUUAUAGAACAACAGCAAAUGAAAAGAAUAUUAAGGCAUCUCACAUGACAUUCAAAAACUCAUCAGAUAUAUGGCUCUUUAAACCCCCAUCCCAUUCGAUAAGUACCUAUCGAAGAUUUCUGAUAGUAGGGGGCUCUUUAAUUGAGCGGACAGGCAUAACAAGAUCUAGUGGCUGGAGCUGAAGCUAGACAAAUUCAGACUAGAAAGAAGGUGUACAUCUUUAUAUCUUUCUUUAAAACAUGCUUUAACUUAACAAGAAGU